AUGUUGUACGGGGUAGAAGAACCAUUGAAAGAUCAGACAGGUUCGGAUCUCUAUCCUCAUCUGUUGGAUUUUGAUCCCGUACACAGGAGCAGGUUUCACACAGCUACGGCACAUCCACAUGUUGUACGCGGUAGAAGAACCAUUGAAAGAGCAUACAGCCAGCAGCAGUUCAAGUUGGACUUCUUCCAAACUAUUGCCAAAAUUGUCUGUAGUCUGGAUGAUAUGCAGGUUGAACACAUUACGUACACGAGAAAGAUUAAAGCUGGGUGUUUCUUAUUCAAGUUUGAUGGUGAUAUGGACAAUUUUAUUCUCAAACGGUGCUACUCUACAAUUUAUCACGGCCUCUUACAUUAUCCAGUUGGAAUCAUAUAUUGUACUUCAGUUUUUUCUAAAGGGCCAGGAAAAAAAAAAGACACGGUGCAAUUGUUCUUACCCUCUGGAUAA
rnacentral:rRNA from 1 species